CUGGAGACUAAGAAAAUCGAGUCCUUGAAGUCAAGCUGACUCUGCGGUUAGCCUCCGAAAUGAAAAGGUUGAUAGAACAGGUCUUGUUUGCAAAAUAAGUUCAAGACCUGCUUCUCUACCAACAGCA
ensembl:scaRNA